rnacentral:rRNA from 1 species
UACGAAGGGGGGCGAGCGUUGUUCGGAAUUACUGGGCGUAAAGGGCGCGCAGGCGGCCCCCUGAAGUCAGAUGUGAAAGCCCCGGGCUCAACCUGGGAAUAGCAUUUGAUACUCGGGGGCUGGAGUGCGGGAGAGGAGAGUGGAAUUCCCAGUGUAGAGGUGAAAUUCGUAGAUAUUGGGAAGAACACCGGUGGCGAAGGCGGCUCUCUGGACCGUAACUGACGCUGAGGCGCGAAAGCGUGGGGAGCAAACAGG